CCUACGGGUGGCUGCAGUGGGGAAUCUUGCACAAUGGGCGAAAGCCUGAUGCAGCGACGCCGCGUGCGGGAUGACGGCCCUCGGGUUGUAAACCGCUUUCAGCAGGGACGAAACUGACGGUACCUGCAGAAGAAGCCCCGGCCAACUACGUGCCAGCAGCCGCGGUAAUACGUAGGGGGCAAGCGUUGUCCGGAUUUAUUGGGCGUAAAGAGCUCGUAGGCGGUUUGGUAAGUCGGAUGUGAAAUCUCCACGCUCAACGUGGAGGCGCCAUUCGAUACUGCCAUGACUUGAGUACGGUAGAGGAGUGUGGAAUUCCUGGUGUAGCGGUGAAAUGCGCAGAGAUCAGGAGGAACACCCGUAGCGAAGGCGGCACUCUGGGCCGAUACUGACGCUGAGGAGCGAAAGCGUGGGGAGCAAACAGGAUUAGAUACCCGUGUAGUC
rnacentral:rRNA from 1 species